rnacentral:rRNA from 1 species
AAUAUUGGACAAUGGGGCCAACCCUGUUCCAGCCAUGCCGCGUGUGUGAAGAAGGUCUNUUGAUUNUNAAGCACUUUAAGUUGGGNGGAAGGUCUUUAGGUUAAUACCCUUAUGUUUUGACGUUACACUUAGAAUAAUCACCGCCUAACUCUGUGCACGCAGCCGCGGUAAUACAGAGGGUUCAAGCGUUAAUCGGAAUUACUGGGCGUAAAGAGCGCGUAGGUGGUUCAGUAAGAGGGGUAUGAAAUCCCCGGGCGUAACCUGGGAACUGCGUUCAUAACUGCUGAGCUAGAGUACGGUAGAGGGUAAUGGAAUUUCCUGUGUAGCGGUGAAAUGCGUAGAGAUAGGAAGGAACACCAGUGGCGAAGGCGAAUACCUGGACUGAUACUGACACUGAGGUGCGAAAGCGUGGGGAGCAAAC